rnacentral:rRNA from 1 species
GACGAACGCUGGCGGCGUGCUUAACACAUGCAAGUCGAACGGAAAGGCCCUGCUUUUGUGGGGUGCUCGAGUGGCGAACGGGUGAGUAACACGUGAGUAACCUGCCCUUGACUUUGGGAUAACUUCAGGAAACUGGGGCUAAUACCGGAUAGGAGCUCCUGCUGCAUGGUGGGGGUUGGAAAGUUUCGGCGGUUGGGGAUGGACUCGCGGCUUAUCAGCUUGUUGGUGGGGUAGUGGCUUACCAAGGCUUUGACGGGUAGCCGGCCUGAGAGGGUGACCGGCCACAUUGGGACUGAGAUACGGCCCAGACUCCUACGGGAGGCGGCAGUGGGGAAUAUUGCACAAUGGGCGGAAGCCUGAUGCAGCAACGCCGCGUGCGGGAUGACGGCCUUCGGGUUGUAAACCGCUUUCGCCUGUGACGAAGCGUGAGUGACGGUAAUGGGUAAAGAAGCACCGGCCAACUACGUG